UGCUGACUCCUGUCUAGGAGAUAGAAUUGAGUGGAUGUGUCAAGUUUAUCAUUGGGUGUCCACACUAAGUUUGGCAUCAAUGUGGUGACCUCCCGGAGCAGGGGACCACCAGGUUGCCUAAGGAGGGGUGAACCGGCCCAGGUCGGAAAUGGAGCAGGUCGAAACUCCCGUGCUGAUCAGUAGUGGGAUCACGCCUGUGAAUAGCCACUGCACUCUAGCCUGGGCAAACAUAGUAAGA
ensembl:misc_RNA Metazoa_SRP Metazoan signal recognition particle RNA